rnacentral:misc_RNA from 1 species
AAAGAGACGUUAAAGUCAGUAUUAGUUGAGAAGCCGGAGAGAACGGAUGCAAAAGUCGAAAGCCGCGUCUGAAAAUAAGACGUACGACAGCAUUGUAAUUAUUUCGUUGCUUCGAAUAUUAUUAAUUAAAUCAAAACAUCAUUACUUGUCCUUCCCUCUAAGACCCAUUAAGAUACUACAUAAUUUUGGGGGCUCGAGCCGGGAUCUAGAGCGCUAAGUGACAAGUGAAAGUGAUAUUUCGGAACGAUGAGUGACUACAAUGCAGGAGAAGCAG